rnacentral:rRNA from 1 species
UACAGAGGUCCCGAGCGUUGUUCGGAUUCACUGGGCGUAAAGGGUGCGUAGGUGGUGAGGGAAGUCGGAUGUGAAAUCUCCAAGCUCAACUUGGAAACUGCAUUGGAAACUACCUUGCUAGAGGAUUUGAGGGGGGAUUGGAAUACUUGGUGUAGCAGUGAAAUGCGUAGAUAUCAAGUGGAACACCAGUGGCGAAGGCGAAUCCCUGGAAAAUACCUGACACUGAGGCACGAAAGCUAGGGGAGCAAACAGG